GGCUUCCUAGCUCAGCUGGUAGAGCGCUUGCCGCGUCGAGGCACGCUGUUUCUGUCGCUGGUUCUAAACCAGCCGAAGCCC
rnacentral:tRNA from 1 species